GCCGCGGUAACCUAGUGGUCAUGGUUUGGGAUUCCCGUUUUCGAGCAAUCGCGGGCUAAAGACCCGCUGUGUAGCCGUGGCU